rnacentral:rRNA from 2 species
UACGUGAAACCGUUCAGGGGUAAACCUGAGAAACCCGAAAGUUCGAAUGGGGAGAUUCAUGCGUGGUUCGUGAUGUAGCAGAUAAUAAUUGUAUUGACGAUUUAAUGUGCUUGCACAUUCUUUUGCAUCUGUUAUUUCUGUACUAUAUUCGACCGCGUGCACUUCUCCACCUAGUAGGACGUCGCGAUUCGUUGGGUGUCGGUCUAAGGUCCGGUAGGUAGUUCGUUGUUAUUUUUAUAAUAACGAACCUCCGGUAUCCCGACCGACUCGCUCGACGGUAUUGAUGUAUGGUGUAUGGUCGCAUUUAAUGCGCUUGACUAGUUGCAAGUCUAUACGUAUAUCUGAACUACGGACCUAGUGCCGAAUUUAGUAACGUGUAACUGUUGGUAACUAUGUUCUUGGGCAGACACAAACACCUAUCAGCGACGAUAUUGAUUUGGGUACUUUCAGGGCCCGUCUUGAAACACGGACCAAGGAGUCUAGCAUGUGCGCGAGUCAUUGGGAUAUAUAUAAGCCUAUAGGCGUAAUGAAAGUAAAGAUUUUUCCUUGUGUUAAAUCAAGGGAGGAUGGGUUUUACUACGGUAUUACCUCGCACUCCCGGGGCGUCUUAAACUCAUUGUGAGUUGAGGCGCACCUAGAGCGUACACGCUGGGACCCGAAAGAUGGUGAACUAUGCCUGGUCAGGACGAAGUCAGGGGAAACCCUGAUGGAGGUCCGUAGCGAUUCUGACGUGCAAAUCGAUCGUCGGAACUGGGUAUAGGGGCGAAAGACUAAUCGAACCAUC